UUAAAAGGCAAAAAUGACUCAUUCUCAGUAGUUUUGAGUGGAGCUGGCUCAACCCUACCCUAGACGUCAUAGCUGGCAGCAGCUCCUGGCAGAUACAGGUUAUUAACUUUCAAGUGAAGCACUAGUGAAAAGCUCCCAGCUCGGCACCCCCUCUGUCCGUGAUGCAUCGAUCAGAAGGCUCCGUGGGAUACAGGAUGAUCUUGUGUAAGGAUGGAUCCGAUGGAUUCAUGAGGAGAUGUCCGGGGAGAACAUCGGCACGGAGCACUGAUGUGACCUGCAGACAUCACAGGUGCACAAAACAUAGCCCCUUUUUACACAGUGUCUGGGCAAGAUUUAAUCUGGUAACAGAAACCUCGGUGAUGUGGUUCUUAAAAAUAAUCAUGUUGCUGAUUGACAAAAAAUAAGAUAUUUUGCUCUCCAACAUUCAUUUUAAUGAUGCUAAUACUGGCUUGGCAUCUAGCUGAUCACAUAAUGGACUGAUGGAUUUAUUACAUUUGACUUUAUAGAAAUGAUUUUAGAGAUUUGUGCUUCCACCUCCCUGAGUCCACCCCUGGAACACUGACAUAGUUGUGGUGUAUUUCUUGUCUGAAACUUACAUAGCUGGGUUCAUUUCAAGUUACAAAGCCAGAAAGUGUUUUUAAAAUCUAAUUGUCCACUACCUGCACUGCCAGUUUGGUUUUUGGACUCCACUCAGGACACUGUCAUUGCUCGUGUCUCAUCCACAUCCGCAUUGCCCAGGAGAGAUCAGCUCUUAAACAGAAAAGCAGUAAAGAGCUUCCUGUGCAUGAGCUGGUUAAUUGUCAUGGUAGUGUGGUAGCAUUUUAGUAAAAUACCACAUCCUUCCCUGAUAUUCGAACCCUACCAUGUCUAAAGGUAUUCUACCCUAGAUUUUGAACAAGUCUCAUUGUCUGCCAUCCAACUAAGAGAACUUCAGGCUCCUCUGCCUUUCCCUUUCUCCAGCCUAUCUCCUCAGCAAAUGUCAUUAACCCCCUCUGUUUUAACUGCCAGAAUUACUGUUAAAUAUCCACACUCUUUCUAAUUCCAUUGGGAUAUCACCAUAUCUGUACAUCAGUUUGGAUUUAGAAAAUGGGGGAAGCAGAAGAGCUGGGUUCUCCUUCUGACAGCUCAGUUCUAUAUUGUGUUCAAAUCACAAAGGUGUGACUGAUUCUCCUUCCAUCUUCUCUGCAGGAUGGUGUGGAACAGCUGAUCCACACAUUGGGAGAGGAAAUGGGUCAUUAAGGGUUUUAUCUCAUGUACAUUAAGGCUCCCCUUUCCUUUCAGAAUGUGAACACUGGCUCUGGGUCUCCCACACAAUAUCCCAAAUUUAACCAGCCAAAUUAGCUGCUUGGCUGGAUCAUGAGCCUCUCUCAGCUGCCCAACAGGUUCAACAAUAGCAUCAGUUUACUGAUUUACAGGUUUAUAAUUUAAUUUUUCCAAAUAAAUAUAUUUUUGAGUGUUUGCAAGCAAAGAAGCUGGCUCUUAAAAGCCUUUGGGACAGAUACAGUUUUCCUCAUAAUUUAGAUGAAGGCUCAAAUUAGAUUAGUUCCCUUUAAGAAGGCCCUUAAAUACAUAUUUUGCUAGAAGCAGCCAUGUGAUACAAGGUCACUUACUGGUUUUUUUUUUUCUUCUUUGAUCCUCUGUAACAGACUCAUGUAAAUAGGAAUGUCUACCAGCAAAAUGAAAUAGUAGCAUAAAAAUGCAGCUGCACCAGAAUUGUUAUCAAAUGGUAAGAAAAAAACUGAAGUGGCAGAUGAGGGGAGAAGAAGAGAGAGAAAAACUACAGUUUCAGUGAUAACACCUCAGUACCCAUUUCUGAUGUCUCAGGUAAAAAGAGAAAUACAUACCUGUUCAGAAGAACACAUAUUUUGUUUUUCUUUAAAUUGGUGAAGUCUUCAGAGUGAAAGUGAUGAUUCCUUCCUACCUUUGAUAUUUUUAUCAAGAGAAAUCAUAGUGCACCAGUCCUUUGUAACAGCCAAGUUAUGUAUCACUCCUUGAACUUGACAGCUGCUCCUGGUAAUAACCUCACUUAAGUAGAAUGAGCAGCAGCAGACCUGCAACCAUACAAAGUAAAGGCUUAUUCCUACUAUUAAAUUAAUAGGUUGUCCAAAAGUGUAACAGCAUAAAUAGCUCUGUUAUUUUCCCUAAGCAGGUCCCAAUAUGGUGCUCAACAUGUUUUGACAUCUCACCAUGCAUUGAAUUGGUUACCAUCUGUUUGACAUUAUUUUGUUAUAAGAGUAGGGGUUUCCCUUUAUUUCCUCAGCCCAAAUUCUCUCCCCUCUUGCUGUUGCAUUGUGCUCCAAGGUGACUAUGUUCCCAUUGCUUGUCACUGUAGCAUCCUUCAGGCUUGCCUGAGGUCUAAGAUACCACAUAAAUGUAAAAGUAAACAAGCAGGCAGGCAGGUACACCGGCUUUUUGCCAAGAACCUGGUGUUCAGAUCCUCAUCCUAACUAACUUCACCAUAUUUUAAUGGGCAGAGAGCUCCCAAGUCCCCCCCAACACCAUCAGGCUGUGAACUUCUGUAUUUACAGCAGCAUUACUCGGAAAUAUCUUCAUCUGUGGAGCAGUGAGACACUUGUGGCUGCUCCCAAGGUGCUAAUGAAUUUAUAUAUGGUUAGAAAGCAGUAAACCAGGCUUGUGCUAUCACAGUGCUAAGAGCUAAGUAUGACCAAAAGCCUAUUUUUUUUGUCCUACCUUGCAAAUCUCUCCAGCUCUGUUCUUUCCAAAUUGUAAUGCUGCUCAUGCAGAUGGGUCUGCAGGCAAGGCUUCCAGGGGAUGUUGGCCCCAGAGAUAAAUCACGCUCUUCAGCAAGGCCUUUACCAUAGCUAAUCUAUAAUCUAUAAUUCUAUAUGAAAACAAAAAAUUAGCUUUAUCAGCUCUAUCCCUUCCUCUAACUCACCAAUAUUUAAAAGAUCUUGUAAUAAACCAAGUUCUUUCUUCAGCCCUAACCCUGAUCACACCUGGGUUACCACUUUGUGUUUCAAAAUAAAGGAUUUAACUUGGCUGAUACUGUCAUAAACCAUUGUAGCUCUCACCUUUGCUUAAUGGGACCUAAAUAAUCCCUAGAUCCCUGACACAUUUUGUUUUACUUUCUUUCCCCAAACUAUCACAAAGUAUCCAACCUGACAUAAUAGUUAUACAUACUACAGGGGACAGGAAUAUUUGCACAAUACCUAUUUGGGAAGAAGAGUUAUGGAAGAGGGAAGUAAAUUCCUUAUCGAAGAUAUGAAGGCAAAGACAAAUAAUCGCCAGGAAAACAAUUACAUUGUCUUUCCUUCUGCAGUAUUUUUAAUUUCCUCCUGAGAAUUUUUGGAAAAAGACUACUAUGCUGUCAUCCUCCUGGGAUAAGCAAAAAGGAAAUGAAACUUUAAAAGACCUGAAAGGCUGUUUGGUGUUUCUUCCACAGACUUUCACUAGAAGGUAGGCGCAGAGAUAAUAUUCUUCAAGGUUAUUUUGAUUGAAAUAUUAAAGGCCUUUUUUGUUUGUAUUAGCAAUAUGCUAAUAAUUGUAUUAUACAAGUUCACUGGGGGUUUUUUAUGCAUUGCUUCUAUUUUCUUUAUAUUUACAGAAGUAAAAUCCAUUAAAAUACUUUUAAAAACACAUGGCCCUCUUAUUAGGUAUGUAGUUGUCAUCUAUCUUUUGAUUUAUUCAUAAAAAUGCAAACAGACAUAUGUGAUGCUGCUCUUCAGACCAAAUCCCAGUUCUGAGGAUUCCUCAUUCCAGCACACACUGCUCAGUUCUGACCACACUCUCCUAACAAACUGUUGAAUUCAAAUGUUGAAUUUCCCUGUAAGCCAAAACAUAAUCAUGAUAAACUUCUGGUGACCAAAAUGAAAUAGUAAGAGAAUUGGGUCACUAAGAAUCCUUCUUUAUGAGCAAACUGAGCAUUUAACCACAUGAAAGUGAAGCGCCUUUUUUAAUCCUAAUUGUCUUCUUCAUUUUUUUUUAUAUUUGCCUAAAACAAAUCCCUCAUUACUUUCCAGAGAAAUAAUUUAUUAACUUGUAGAUGCAGUGAAAAGCAAAUGAUGUUUCAUAUAUCUCAGCUUCAGGCUUCCUUUGUGCUAUCACAGGAACACUCCUGAUUCCACAAAAAUUAUUUUAUAGAAAGCAAUUUAUUAAACCUCACGAUCUGUCAAGACACAUGAAUAUUGAUGUGCUCACAUUAACAUCUCCUGGAGCAGCUGAAAACUAAAUUUCGCAUGACUUAAUGGGAAUUACAUGUUGCAGAGCAACAGGUGACAAGAGCUUAAUUAAAGCAAAACUGAUAAAGUAGCUGAGCCAUUAUAAAAAAUGUUUUGUUUUAAAUGUCCUAAAGAACCACUUGCAUGUUUUCAUUGAUGGGGAAGGGAAAGCAACUCUGGUUUACAAGAUAAAACCUAGAACAGGACAGGUGCCACUUAUCAGAUGGAAACUGCAUCUACCGUAACACUCAAUUACUUUGGAAUUUAGAUAGAAUAAUCAUGUAAAAAAUGGCCGUAUCCAAUUAUAUUUUACUUAGAUUCCAAAAGAAAAAAAGAACAGAAACACCUUUAUGGUGAAGAUACAGAAUUCCUUUGAGAGCACAAUUAAAACUUAUUAUUAAAAUUUAAUCAUAUGUUGGUCCUAGGGUGAAUGAAUUCUAGAUGUUCACAGCAGGACUCUUUGCCUUAAAUUAACAAAUCCACAGAAAAUACACCCUUUCCUUAAAUACAGCAAUAAUUUGCUUGUUUGUGGGAUUGGGCAUCAGUGCCCAGAUAUUUUAUUAGAAAAACAAAUCCCACCGGACUGAAGUAUCAAAAUUUAGUAUGAAAAUAGAUUAAACAAAGUAUGUCUGUUAAAAUUAUGUCAGCAUUUAAAAGACAAACAAACCCACUCCUUAUUAACUCUGAUGAUUUAAGAUACAGAGGUAGACUUGGAUUCUUUGUGUAAUUGAACUUGAAAGAAAGUCUGUCUUUUUCCUUUGAAGAUUUAUUCCAAAAAUGCCAGUAUCCAAUAAUCUGUGCUCUGCAGCUCUAUAGCAUAGUGGGCAGUGAGAAUAGGGUAAAAAAGAACAAUAGUAGCACUUUGUGCAGAGUAUAAAUAAAAGCAUCAGAUGAGGCAAUGACAGUUUUAAUGUCAAAGGACUCUUCCAGGUAAGACUAAAAGAAAUUUAGAUUUGAUUGCCUGCCUAUUUUUCAAUCUGGAAUCACGAUUUUUGUACUUUACGGAUUUUGGAUGUUCUUGCUCUGAGUGGGUGUGUUCAUUCCUGUCCUGAAGAACUCAGCAAUGACAGCCUACAUGUUACUUUAUUUAAUUCUUCUAGAAUUAGUUCUAUACUGUUUGCUUGGAGGCCAAGAAAUAUUUUACAGUGACUAUUGUGGGAUUCUCAUUUUUAAACAGCUUUUCCAUGUUAAGAAUUGUGAUGAAUAAGUGAUUAAAAACACCGACAAACACUGAAGUAAUUUAAGGUUCAUAAAGGAAGUGAAUGACAAUUUCUGGCUGCUUUGGAGGUCACUGCAUGGUCAAAUUGCUCUUUUUGGAGUGCUCGUCACCAUUUCUCAUGGUGAUUGGCCUAGCUCACAUUGUUUUCUCACACUUAUAAAUUUCCUUUACUACCUGGAAAGGAAAGGCUCCAAACCCAGUAUAUUCUUCCUCAAAAAUAAGUUAUGAAGGUGGGAAACUGUUGCAAUGGUGCAAUGUUCAUGGUCUGCCAAGGAAUUGCAUUUAACCAUUUUUAGCCAAAGGCUGGAUACAAAAAUACAAGUCUUGAAAGAGGAAUGGAAACUCCAUGUGAAAGAGUUUCUGUGGAAUAAACAUUACCUGAAUAAAAAAUAGCUCUAGGCUACCUUUUUUCUCCCCCCAUGUUUUUAAAGUAUUGCAGGUCAACUUUUGUUUAAAAAUAACUUUUAAAUAAAAGGUGGGUUUAUGCUACUAUUUCAGAUUCCUCUAUAAUUGAAUUAAUUACCUCAGUACUAAGGUAGAAUAUUUUCUACUUUCUGCUCUUCCCACCACUUAGCUCUCCAGUUUUCCUCAGAGCAAUGGAUCUUGUGUAUUGCUUCUCUGAAAUGUGAAAUGGAUCAGAUGCAGCAUUAAUUAAUUGUGCCAGUGGAUGAGAACAAUUAAUAGAUCCUUGGAAAUGAGGGGAGAGGUGCAGACUUGUUGGCGCACCCCACACAUUACAUCUUAAACCUUUUAAGCUUGAAGCAGAAAGUAGUCAGCUUUUCAUAUCAAAGAGUUAUCCAAAAAAGCUUAAUAGCCAACCUCAAAUGACAAAAAACAACAAUAACUAAAACCAAAAAUAUAUCUCAAGUAAUUGUUAUUUGUUAACAACCUUUCUAAAGCAGAACACCAGCUACCACUUAAAAUCCUCCAGAAGACAAUGUUUAAAGCAAUGGAGGAGGCUGGGUUCUGCAUCAACCUAUUCCACCAUGAACAGAUACUACGAAAUAAAGAUUAUUUAGAAUACUGGAUGCUAAAAGAUGCUGGAAUAAAAGAGAUUUGUACACAG